rnacentral:rRNA from 1 species
AGAGUUUGAUCCUGGCUCAGAUUGAACGCUGGCGGCAGGCCUAACACAUGCAAGUCGAGCGGUAGCACAGAGAGCUUGCUCUCGGGUGACGAGCGGCGGACGGGUGAGUAAUGUCUGGGAAACUGCCUGAUGGAGGGGGAUAACUACUGGAAACGGUAGCUAAUACCGCAUAACGUCGCAAGACCAAAGUGGGGGACCUUCGGGCCUCAUGCCGUCAGAUGUGCCCAGAUGGGAUUAGCUAGUAGGUGGGGUAACGGCUCACCUAGGCGACGAUCCCUAGCUGGUCUGAGAGGAUGACCAGCCACACUGGAACUGAGACACGGUCCAGACUCCUACGGGAGGCAGCAGUGGGGAAUAUUGCACAAUGGGCGCAAGCCUGAUGCAGCCAUGCCGCGUGUGUGAAGAAGGCCUUCGGGUUGUAAAGCACUUUCAGCGGGGAGGAAGGCGAUAAGGUUAAUAACCUUGUCGAUUGACGUUACCCGCAGAAGAAGCACCGGCUAACUCCGUGCCAGCAGCCGCGGUAAUACGGAGGGUGCAAGCGUUAAUCGGAAUUACUGGGCGUAAAGCGCACGCAGGCGGUCUGUCAAGUCGGAUGUGAAAUCCCCGGGCUCAACCUGGGAACUGCAUUCGAAACUGGCAGGCUAGAGUCUUGUAGAGGGGGGUAGAAUUCCAGGUGUAGCAGUGAAAUGCGUAGAGAUCUGGAGGAAUACCGGUGGCGAAGGCGGCCCCCUGGACAAAGACUGACGCUCAGGUGCGAAAGCGUGGGGAGCAAACAGGAUUAGAUACCCUGGUAGUCCACGCCGUAAACGAUGUCGAUUUGGAGGUUGUGCCCUUGAGGCGUGGCUUCCGGAGCUAACGCGUUAAAUCGACCGCCUGGGGAGUACGGCCGCAAGGUUAAAACUCAAAUGAAUUGACGGGGGCCCGCACAAGCGGUGGAGCAUGUGGUUUAAUUCGAUGCAACGCGAAGAACCUUACCUGGUCUUGACAUCCACAGAACUUUCCAGAGAUGGAUUGGUGCCUUCGGGAACUGUGAGACAGGUGCUGCAUGGCUGUCGUCAGCUCGUGUUGUGAAAUGUUGGGUUAAGUCCCGCAACGAGCGCAACCCUUAUCCUUUGUUGCCAGCGGUCCGGCCGGGAACUCAAAGGAGACUGCCAGUGAUAAACUGGAGGAAGGUGGGGAUGACGUCAAGUCAUCAUGGCCCUUACGACCAGGGCUACACACGUGCUACAAUGGCAUAUACAAAGAGAAGCGACCUCGCGAGAGCAAGCGGACCUCAUAAAGUAUGUCGUAGUCCGGAUUGGAGUCUGCAACUCGACUCCAUGAAGUCGGAAUCGUUAGUAAUCGUAGAUCAGAAUGCUACGGUGAAUACGUUCCCGGGCCUUGUACACACCGCCCGUCACACCAUGGGAGUGGGUUGCAAAAGAAGUAGGUAGCUUAACCUUCGGGAGGGCGCUUACCACUUUGUGAUUCAUGACUGGGGUGAAGUCGUAACAAGGUAGCCGUAGG